rnacentral:rRNA from 1 species
UUGACGGGGCCCGCACAAGCGGCGGAGCAUGCGGAUUAAUUCGAUGCAACGCGAAGAACCUUACCAAGGCUUGACAUACACCGGUAACGCCCAGAGAUGGUGCCCCUUUGUGGUCGGUGGACAGGUGGUGCAUGGUUGUCGUCAGCUCGUGUCGUGAGAUGUUGGGUUAAGUCCCGCAACGAGCGCAACCCUCGUCCUAUGUUGCCAGCGGGUCAUGCCGGGGACUCAUGGGAGACUGCCGGGGUCAACUCGGAGGAAGGUGGGGAUGACGUCAAAUCAUCAUGCCCCUUAUGUCUUGGGCUUCACGCAUGCUACAAUGGCCGGUACAAAGGGCUGCGAUACCGCGAGGUGGAGCGAAUCCCAGAAAGCCGGUCUCAGUUCGGAUUGGGGUCUGCAACUCGACCCCAUGAAGUCGGAGUCGCUAGUAAUCGCAGAUCAGCAACGCUGCGGUGAAUACGUUCCCGGGCCUU